rnacentral:rRNA from 1 species
CUGUAGUCCCUAAUAUUUUCAAACCUCUUUCAGAGAGACUGCCUGUAUGUUUUGCUUGAGGAAAAGCAAAAGGAUAAGUCUGGGGGAGUUGAUAUGCUUUGGAUUUGACCCAUUUUCAUCCAUGGUAUAUAGGUGUUUUACUAUAUAUAUAUCUAUGUUUUCUACUCUUCUAGGUAUGUUUUCAUGUUCAUGUGCAUUUCGGAGUAAAGCUAUGACUUUGGAGCAUUUUGGAGCUUAAAAUACAUUUCAUCCGAGCUGACCAUGUAGAGGUCGACGAGAGAAAGAACAAUCGAUCGAUGCACAUCCAGUGCUGUCGAUCGACACCAUGAGAUGCCUCGCCAAAUGAAGAUUAAUAUUGAUCGAUGUACACAAGUACCAUCGAUCGAUGUCGAGACAUUGGACAUGCGACAUUUUGGAUCCAGCGGACUUGAAGCCCAAGUCCAAGCUAAAUUACAAAAAUGCCCUGACGAGUUUUUAACCUAGUAGAUUAUAUAUUGCCUAAGUGUUUUGACGGCAGAGAGAGUUUUUUGUUACAAUUUUACUUUGAGUGAGAGAGAGAGUUUUGGAGAGAAGAUCACUUGUGAUUGGAACUCCUUGUUUUCAUUUCUUUUCAUCUAUACUAUGAAUUCCCAUUUCUUCAUUGUCAUGAAUUGCUUUGCUAUGUCUGAGUUGUUCUUUUAAUAGAUCCAGGGUUCAGAUAGGUUUGUGGGAUUAGCCCCAAACUAUAGAUCUGCCUUGUUGUGAUAUUCAUGAUAGAUUUGUAUUCAAUAUCAUGAUCAUAGGAUUGCAUACUCAAGCACCCUUGUUAUCCCAUCCUUACAUCUAUCUAUCAUAUUAGGACUGCUAGAGAGGGCUAACUGCCAAUUUAGUAUCUUAAUAGGGCAUAUCAUACUCGCGCAUAGGCCUGGCUAGAACCCGUCGAUCGAUGUCCUCAACUGACUAUCGGUCGACGUAGGUAAAGGUGUAUCAGUCGACGUCCGUAUAGGACCAUCGAUCGACACUCUUUCGUUGUCAACAUACUAACCGUUGAGACACGAGAUCUAGUUUGUUAACCAGUGAACCAUGAGACAACUGAUCACUGAGGUAAGCGGUUGAGCUCUAACAUAUCAUGCAUGCAGCAAAUAGGCAUCUAUAGAUAUUAUAAUCUCCAACACCUGAAUAGUGGCCCCACGUCUAAUAUCAUUUCCAACCAAGUUACAUUUACUAUUUACUUUGCUUGUUACUAUUGCUAUUUCAUUUAAACAUUUACAACUCUUAAAAUUAAUAAACACUAGAUUUAAUUGUUCCCUAGCUCCUUGUGGAUUCGAUCCCUAAGUACUACAUCUGAACCUCUUUUGAUGAGAGUAACACUCCUUAGGUAAUUUGAGUGGUAUCAAAGAGCACCGCCGCCGCGUGGUGUCCGGUGCAUUCCCGGGCCCUUGAAAAUCCGGAGGGCGGAGUGCCGCUCACGCCCGGUCGUACUCAUAACCACAUCAGGUCUCCAAGGUGAACAGCCUCUGGUCGAUGGAACAAUGUAGGCAUGGGAAGUCAGCAAAAUGGAUCCGUAACUUUGGGAAAUGGAUUGGCUCUGAGGGCUGGGCUCGGGGGUCCCAGUUCCGAACCCGUCGACUGUUGGCGGGCUGGUUGAGCUGCUAACAUGGCGAGAGCGGACCGCCUCGUGUCGGUCGGAGGACGGACUGGGAACGGCUCUAUCGAGAUCUUUCCCCGGGCAUCAAACAGCCAACUCAGAACUUGUACGGACAAGGGGAAUCCGACUGCGGAUGCUAACGCAAUGUGAUUUCUGCCCAGUUCUCUGAAUGUCAAAGUGAAGAAAUUCAAACAAGCGCGGGUAAACGGCGGGAGUAACUAUGACUCUCUUAAGUUAGCCAAAUGCCUCGUCAUCUAAUUAGUGACGCGCAUGAAUGGAUUAAGGAGAUUCCCACGUCCAUGUCUACUAUCCAGCGAAACCACAGCCAAGGGAACAGGCUUGGCAGAAUCAGCGGGGAAGAAGACCCUGUUGAGCUUGACUUUAGUCCGAAGUUUGUGAAAUGACUUGAGAGGUGUAAAAUAAGUGGGAACUCCGGCAAGUGAAAUACCACUAAUUUUAACGUUAUUUUACUUACUCCGUGAAUCGGAGGCAGGGUAACAACCCUUCUUUUAGACCCAAGACUCGCGCUUCAAGGGGUCAAUCCGGGCGAGAGGACAUUCUCAGGUGGGGGAGUUUGGCUGGGGUGGCACAUCUGUUAAAAGAUAACGCCGGUGUCCUAAGAUGAGCUCAACGAGAACAGAAAUCUCGUGUGGAACAAAAGGGUAAAAGCUCGUUUGAUUCUGAUUUUCAGUAUGAAUACGAACCAUGAAAGCGUGGCCUAUUGAUCCUUCGAUGUCGGCUCUUCCUAUCAUUGUGAAGCAGAAUUCACCAAGUGUUGGAUUUUUCACCCACCAAUAGGGAACGUGAGCUGGGUUUAGACCAUCCAGGUUAGUUUUACCCUACUGAUGCCUGUGUCGCAAUAGUAAUUCAACCUAGUACGAGGAAACCAUUGAUUCGCACAAUUGGUCAUCACGCUUGCUUGAAAAGCCAGUGGCGCCGGGUUACCUUAUGCUGGAUUAUGACUGAACGCCUUCUAAGUUAGAAUCUGGGCUAAAGCGGCGAUUCGCCGCUGCCCGAUUACCAACCCUCAGUAGGAGCUUCGCCCAAAGGCACGGUCGUUGGCUUAAGUCCGUUCGGGCGAAGCACCGUUCGGACCGCUUUGAAUUAUAAUUACCACCGAGCCGCGGGUAGAAUCC